UGAGUAACACGUGGGCAAUCUGCCCUGCACUCUGGGACAAGCCCUGGAAACGGGGUCUAAUACCGGAUACUGACCCGCUUGGGCAUCCAAGCGGUUCGAAAGCUCCGGCGGUGCAGGAUGAGCCCGCGGCCUAUCAGCUUGUUGGUGAGGUAAUGGCUCACCAAGGCGACGACGGGUAGCCGGCCUGAGAGGGCGACCGGCCACACUGGGACUGAGACACGGCCCAGACUCCUACGGGAGGCAGCAGUGGGGAAUAUUGCACAAUGGGCGAAAGCCUGAUGCAGCGACGCCGCGUGAGGGAUGACGGCCUUCGGGUUGUAAACCUCUUUCAGCAGGGAAGAAGCGAAAGUGACGGUACCUGCAGAAGAAGCGCCGGCUAACUACGUGCCAGCAGCCGCGGUAAUACGUAGGGCGCGAGCGUUGUCCGGAAUUAUUGGGCGUAAAGAGCUCGUAGGCGGCUUGUCACGUCGGUUGUGAAAGCCCGGGGCUUAACCCCGGGUCUGCAGUCGAUACGGGCAGGCUAGAGUUCGGGGCAAUGGC
rnacentral:rRNA from 2 species